GCCGGGGCUUCUUCUGCGGGUACCGUCAUUAUCUUCCCCGCUGAAAGGGAUUUACAACCCUAAGGCCUUCUUCACCCACGCGGCAUGGCUGGAUCAGGCUUGCGCCCAUUGUCCAAUAUUCCCA
rnacentral:rRNA from 1 species